rnacentral:lncRNA from 1 species
CGCAAGGUCUCUUCUUCUUUUUCUUCACCUGAAAAAUAUAAAAAAUAACGAGAUUAAUAUUAGAGUCAGCACAAUCAAAUGUUUUUCUAUCAAAAUAAAACAUUGCAAGAAGAUAAACUUCCUUAAUACUAAUAAUAGGCUAAAAGAACAUAAACGUUAUGCAAUCUACGUUCAACAAUUAUUUAAUUUAUGAUUAUAAACAUGUAUGGCAAUUGCCUCAAAUCUAAAAUAUCAAUAAAAUACUAAGUGAUUAA